CAUAUGGGUAGGGCUUCACACGUCAUACAAUGGUACAUACAGAGCGCCGCCAACCCGCGAGGGGGAGCUAAUCGCAGAAAGUGUAUCGUAGUCCGGAUUGUAGUCUGCAACUCGACUACAUGAAGUUGGAAUCGCUAGUAAUCGCGGAUCAGCAUGUCGCGGUGAAUACGUUCCCGGGUCUUGUACACACCGCCCGUCACACCAUGGGAGCGGGUUUACCAGAAGUAGGUAGCUUACCGCAAGGAGGGCGCUUACCACGGUAGGAUUCGUGACU
rnacentral:rRNA from 1 species